CCUACGGGGGGCUGCAGUGGGGAAUAUUGGACAAUGGGGGCAACCCUGAUCCAGCCAUGCCGCGUGUGUGAAGAAGGCCCUCGGGUUGUAAAGCACUUUCAGUGAGGAAGAACGCCUGGUGGUUAAUACCCAUCAGGAAAGACAUCACUCACAGAAGAAGCACCGGCUAACUCCGUGUCAGCAGCCGCGGUAAUACGGAGGGUGCGAGCGUUAAUCGGAAUUACUGGGCGUAAAGCGCGCGUAGGUGGCUUGAUAAGCCGGUUGUGAAAGCCCCGGGCUCAACCUGGGAACGGCAUCCGGAACUGUCAAGCUAGAGUGCAGGAGAGGAAGGUAGAAUUCCCGGUGUAGCGGUGAAAUGCGUAGAGAUCGGGAGGAAUACCAGUGGCGAAGGCGGCCUUCUGGACUGACACUGACACUGAGGUGCGAAAGCGUGGGUAGCAAACAGGAUUAGAUACCCGGGUAGUC
rnacentral:rRNA from 1 species